CCUACGGGUGGCAGCAGUGGGGAAUAUUGGACAAUGGGCGAAAGCCUGAUCCAGCCAUGCCGCGUGUGUGAAGAAGGCCUUCGGGUUGUAAAGCACUUUCAGUGGGGAAGAAAGCCUUGGGGCUAAUACCCUCGAGGAAGGACAUCACCCACAGAAGAAGCACCGGCUAACUCCGUGCCAGCAGCCGCGAUAAUACGGAGGGUGCGAGCGUUAAUCGGAAUUACUGGGCGUAAAGCGCGCGUAGGCGGUCUGAUAAGCCGGUUGUGAAAGCCCCGGGCUCAACCUGGGAACGGCAUCCGGAACUGUCAGGCUAGAGUGCAGGAGAGGAAGGUAGAAUUCCCGGUGUAGCGGUGAAAUGCGUAGAGAUCGGGAGGAAUACCAGUGGCGAAGGCGGCCUUCUGGACUGACACUGACGCUGAGGUGCGAAAGCGUGGGUAGCAAACAGGAUUAGAUACCCUGGUAGUC
rnacentral:rRNA from 1 species